CCUCCUUAUAACAAAGUUACACUUACAGAGUGUUCACACAAAUAAUUAAUUACUAAAUAUGAAAAGAGAUGCUAAAGGCCUGUACCUCACCUGGUUAUAGCGCACCCCUGAUAAGGGUGAGGUCGGCAGUUCAAGUCUGCCCAGGCCUACCAUUGCCUGGUUAGAUUAAGUAACACUCAUUAUGGGGCUAUAGCUCAGCUGGGAGAGCGCUUGAUUUGCAUUCAAGAGGUCCGUGGUUCGAUCCCGCGUAGCUCCACCAUACUGAAACACUCUCUUAAAUAAAACUCUAAAAAAUACACAUUUACACAAAUGUCUAUUCUUUAGAGUCUUUAAUGACUCAUGCUCUUUAACAAUUUGGAAAGCUGAUAAAAUAAGGGUAAACAUUAUUGUUUAUUUAAUUUUGUUAUUCAACAAUUUUAAAAA
rnacentral:tRNA from 1 species